rnacentral:rRNA from 1 species
GCCAGACUCCUACGGGAGGCAGCAGUCGGGAAUAUUGCGCAAUGGAGGCAACUCUGACGCAGUGACGCCGCGUAUAGGAAGAAGGUUUUCGGAUUGUAAACUAUUGUCCACAGGGAAGAAAAAGACUGUACCUGUGAAGAAAGCUCCGGCUAACUACGUGCCAGCAGCCGCGGUAAUACGUAUGGUGCAAGCGUUAUCCGGAUUUACUGGGUGUAAAGGGAGCGCAGGCGGCACGGCAAGCCUGAUGUGAAAGCCCGCGGCCCAACCACGGGACUGCAUUGGGAACUACCGGGCUGGAGUGCCGGAGAGGUAGGCGGAAUUCCUAGUGUAGCGGUGAAAUGCGUAGAUAUUAGGAGGAACACCAGUGGCGAAGGCGGCCUACUGGACGGUGACUGACGCUGAGGCUCGAAAGCGUGGGGAGCAAACAGGAUUAGAUACCCCCGUAGAA